UUUUGAGAAUGAGCUAUCAGCAACUCUAUUGAUGUGGGUGUGACCUGUGAGAGAAGAGAGAAGCGAAAGAAUGAGCCAAUCCUAUAACUAUCCCAGCCUUCACUCUUCCCCUCUUUGGAAUUGGCCGUCCCAAAUGAGUCCUUGAUGUGAAGCUUCCUCUGUUCAUCACCAUCGUCGUCGUCCUCGCACCAGCUGCCAUCUUUAUGUCUUCUUUUUCUUCCUCUUCUUGUUUUCACUCACAGCAA